UUCUCUCUGGUCUGGCACAAAGCUAGUGACAGAAUGACUGUUUCUGUGUAUCAGGAUCGGUAGUCAAGGGACGAGGAAAAGGUAGAAGAGAAGUGUGUACAUAUGAAUAUUAAUGAAAAGGAUGUGGUAAACAAGAAGGUAUAAUGACGAUAUGUGAAAUGAACAAAACAAGAUUUCAUUCAGCUUCAUGCAGUCAUUGAAAAGGGAGGCACAAUGGAUCUGAGCUAUUUUUUUUUUUUGCACCAGAAACACGGUUUCUG